rnacentral:rRNA from 1 species
CCUACGGGAGGCAGCAGUGAGGAAUAUUGGUCAAUGGCCGGAAGGCUGAACCAGCCAAGCCGCGUGAAGGACGAAGGUGCCAAGCAUUGUAAACUUCUUUUGUCAAGGGACAAAAUCAGGCUCGAGAGCCUGACCGAGGGUACUUGCAGAAAAAGCAUCGGCUGACUCCGUGCCAGCAGCCGCGGUAAUACGGAGGAUGCGAGCGUUAUCCGGAUUUCUUGGGUGUAAAGGGUGCGUAGGGGGGCUGUUAAGUCAGCGGUAAAAGCCCGGGGCUCAACCCCGGCGAGCCGUUGAAACUGGCUGUCUUGAGAUGGCGAGAGGUAUGCGGAAUGCGCAGUGUAGCGGUGAAAUGCUUAGAUAUUGCGCAGAACUCCGAUUGCGAAGGCAGCAUACCGGCGGCGAACUGACGCUGAGGCACGAAAGCGUGGGUAUCGAACAGGAUUAGAUACCCUAGUAGUC